rnacentral:rRNA from 1 species
GACGAACGCUGGCGGCGUGCCUAAUACAUGCAAGUCGAACGCAUUUUCUUUCACCGUCUCUUGCUACACCGACAGAAAAUGAGUGGCAACCGGGUGAUUAACACCUCGCUACCCUGCCCAUCAGCGCGGGAUAACACUUUAAAACAGGUUCUAAUACCGCAUACUUCCAUUUACCGCAUGGUAGAUGGAUUCAGGGCGCUUUUGCGUCCCCGACCGAUGAACCCGCGGUGCAUUUGCUAGUUGGUGGGGUAUCGGCCUACUAAGGCUGCGAUGCAUAGGCGAGCUGAGAGGGUGGAGCGCCAGACUGGUAACGAGACCACGGCCAGACGGCUAAGGGAGGCAGCAGUAGGGGAUCUUCGGAAAUGGACACAAGUCGGACAGAGCAACGCCGGGUGAGUGAAGAAGGGUUUGGGAUCGUAAAACUCGGUUGUUAGAGAAGAACAAGGAUGAGAGUGGAAAGUUCAUGUCUUGACGGUAGCUAAUCAGAAAGCCACGGCUAACUACGUG